rnacentral:misc_RNA from 1 species
UUUUGGUUUCGAUUUACAGAACAACAUCAACAUGACUUUGGAAGCUAUCAAGUAUGAAAAUGACACGCUGGAAAUUUUAGACCAGCUCUUACUACCCGGUGAACACAAGUAUAUUCCCAUAUCCUCGGUGGAGGACGGAUGGAAGGCGAUAAAACUCAUGCAAGUGAGGGGAGCGCCCGCUAUCGCCAUUGUGGGUUGUCUGAGUUUAGCGGUAGAGCUGAAGAAAACAUUGUUUUCCAGCAAAGAAGAAUUGUCCAAAUUUAUUGAAGAGAAGCUGAACUAUCUUGUCACUUCACGGCCAACUGCUGUCAAUAUGGGCAAGGCAGCUAAGAAAUUCAUACAGAAAUCGGAAUCAUUAACAACUAAUUCAAAAUUCACGCUACAGGAUAUGCUGAAAAGAAUAGUGACAGCGAUCGAGGAAAUGCUUCCCAAUGACAUCUCUGUGAACAAGACCCUGAGUAAGUAUGGCGCCGAUCACAUCCUACAGAUGUUCAAUGACGAGCCCGUGGACAUCUUGACUCACUGUAACACUGGCUCACUGGCCACCGCGGGGUACGGCACGGCACUAGGUGUCAUUCGAACUUUACACGAAAGAAAGAAAUUACUGCAUGUGUACUGCACAGAAACUCGCCCCUACAACCAAGGCGCGCGCCUGACUGCUUAUGAACAUGUAUACGAGAAGAUGCCGGCCACUCUGAUCUGUGACAGUAUGGUGUCCACCCUGAUGGACCGCCGGGGGGUGUCCGCCGUGAUCGUGGGGGCAGACCGGGUGGUGGUCAAUGGGGACACGGCCAACAAGAUCGGGACCUACCAGCUGGCCAUAGCGGCGAAGCACCACGACAUCCCGUUCUAUGUGGCUUGUCCAACCACCACAUUUGACCCACAUCUUGAAACGGGGAAAGACAUCCACAUCGAGGAAAGACCCCACGAAGAGAUGACCCACUUCAAUGGCGUCUCUGUUGCCGCACCAGGUAUUAACUGUUGGAACCCGGCCUUUGACGUGACCCCAGCGUCACUGAUUACUGGGGGGAUCGUCACAGAGUUUGGGGUGUUCAAGCCGUCGGAACUGGCGGAGAAACUGGUGCCCAUCGUGAUGUCCCUGCACCUGGAGGACCCUGACCAUGUUAACACGGGUCCGGAUCCAUCGUGAUUCAUCACACAACUACCCACAUCAUCUAACUCACAUAACAAUCGUUCUUGUUCAUGUCAAAGUUGUGAAACUGUUUUAUUUCUAGAAUAUUACUGGAUCAUUAAAGAGAUACCGGUAUUGUGUAUGUUUACAAAAUGACUGUUAUCAUAUCGAAAUAAAUUCAUAAUGUUU